rnacentral:tRNA from 1 species
CGGAGCAUAGCAUAUAUAAUGCUUUUUACUUACACUAAAAAUAAAACACCUGUUUGUUCCGC